rnacentral:misc_RNA from 1 species
GAUGAAGAACGCAGCGAAAUGCGAUAAGUAAUGUGAAUUGCAGAAUUCAGUGAAUCAUCGAAUCUUUGAACGCACAUUGCGCCCGCUAGUACUCUAGCGGGCAUGCCUGUUCGAGCGUCAUUUCAACCCUCAAGCUCUGCUUGGUGUUGGGGCCCUACGGCUGCCGUAGGCCCUGAAAGGAAGUGGCGGGCUCGCUACAACUCCGAGCGUAGUAAUUCGUUAUCUCGCUAGGGACGUGUGGCGUGCUCCUGCCGUUAAAGACCCCUCUUUAACCAAGGUUGACCUCGGAUCAGGUAGGAAUACCCGCUGAACUUAAGCAUAUCAAUAAGCGGAGGA